GGCAAAGUGAAGGAAGAAAGGAACAAAGUGAAGGAAGAAAGGAACAGAAAGAAGGAAAGAAGAGGAAAAAGAAGAAGAAAGAAUGGUUGGAUUUUUAAGGUUUCUCUAGCAAGGAAGAACACCAGUAAAGGAAAGAGAGGGAGAGUGAUUGAAAAUAUAAGAAAUUAUAGAGAAAAAGGGAGAAAGAAGGAGAAUAGUGGCAGAAACAACGGUUGAUCAGGGUAGCAGAUAUUUCUCUUGUUCAGGUGAGUUUGGUAAAUUUUUAACCUUUGAUUUUUGGAUAUGUUUAAUUCUAUAUGUCUAGAAUUCAUGAUUAAAAUGUCAAAAUUUUUCAACGAUUGAAUUUGGAGAAAUUAAUUUUUGAACCUAAAUUGUCUAAAUUUGAAAUUCUGAACUUGGGUUGCUGAAAAUUGAGAAAAAUAAAUAGUUAGAAUGCUCAGAAAAUUAUGAAAUAUGGCAGAGAUGAUGUUUAGGAUGUUGAGCUAUUGUGUUAAAAUUUAGUAAAUUUUGGACUUGUGGUUUGUGAGAUAUAAAUUAUUUUGUAUGAGUUAUCUAAUUAAGAAUGAUUUCUCAAAAAUUCAGAAUUUGAAGGGGAGGAUAAAUAUGUUGAUAUCUCAUGAUGCAAAGAUAAUUUGAUGCUAAAAUUUUUGCUGAUGAUGUAUAUGGAUGUCUUGAAUAUAUGGUUAAAAUUUGGGAUUUAUCUGACAAUUGGAUUAUUAUAUAUAAAUUUGAAUGCACA
rnacentral:misc_RNA from 1 species